ACGCUCGACACCUACGGGGGGCAGCAGUCGGGAAUAUUGCGCAAUGGAGGAAACUCUGACGCAGUGACGCCGCGUAUGGGAAGAAGGUUUUCGGAUUGUAAACCAUUUUAGACAGGGAAGAAAAAAAGACAGUACCUGUAGAAUAAGCUCCGGCUAACUACGUGCCAGCAGCCACGGUAAUCUGAGCGGGCUGGCAAGGC
rnacentral:rRNA from 1 species